UAGUCUUCAAGCACACCUGCAAAUGUACCUAAAAAUAGGUUUUAGGUACCCAAACACUUUUGGGUCCUUGGGGGUUAGUCAAAUAAUAAUCAUAGCCAUAAGAUAAAUCCCUAUGUUUCGUAAAACAUAUGGAUGCUAUGUGUCCCACCCGAUUGCAAUAAUGACAAGUUACGUUCGGGUUGUGCAUGUGCCUUGGUUGAGCCAAAUACGUUCUAGGUGAUCUAAAAUCGUAAUUCCUAGAAGCGUUGAAAUUCCUAGAGUCAUAUCUAGGUGGUCUAGAAUAAUUAUUUCUAGACUCAUUCACAAAAAUCCUAGAAUCAUUUCUAGGUGCCCUAAAAUGAUUAUUUCUAGGCUCAUUAACAAAUAUCCUAGAAUUAUUUCUAGGUUGCGCAAUACCAUUUCUAUCGUGAUUCUUAUCUUUACGCCUUUUAUUUUUCUUAGGAUUUUUCUUCUUAAUCUCUUCAACUACUUUAGGAACGUCUACACUACAUUUUUCUAGUGUUU
rnacentral:lncRNA from 1 species